GGUGACAGAAUAUGUGAUAGAUUUAAGUUCUAUUUAUAGCUUUUUAGCUCCUUAAAA
rnacentral:tRNA from 1 species